CUAAAUGCAAGUCGAACGGGGUAUAAGGAGGAGCAAUCCGAAUUAUACCUAGUGGCGGACGGGUGCGUAACGCGUGAACAAUCUGUCCCUCCGAGGGGGAUAACCCCUGGAAACAGGAGCUAAUACCGCAUGGGACCACGGCCUUGCAUGAGGCUGAGGUGAAAGGAGAAAUCCGCGGAGGGGUGAGUUCGCGUCCCAUUAGAUAGUUGGUGGGGUAAUGGCCUACCAAGUCAACGAUGGGUAGCCGAUCUGAGAGGAUGACCGGCCACACUGGAACUGAGAAACGGUCCAGACUCCUACGGGAGGCAGCAGUGGGGAAUAUUGGGCAAUGGGCGAAAGCCUGACCCAGCAACGCCGCGUGAGGGAAGAAGGCUUUCGGGUCGUAAACCUCUGUCGCAGGGGACGAGUAGAUGACGGUACCCUGCAAGGAAGCCCCGGCUAACUACGUGCCAGCAGCCGCGGUAAUACGUAGGGGGCAAGCGUUGUCCGGAAUGACUGGGCGUAAAGGGCGCGUAGGCGGCGCGGUAAGUUUGGAGUGAAAGUCCUGCUUUCAAGGUGGGAAUUGCUUUGAAAACCGCCGUGCUUGAGUGUGGGAGAGGAUAGCGGAAUUCCCGGUGUAGCGGUGAAAUGCGUAGAGAUCGGGAGGAACACCAGUGGCGAAGGCGGCUAUCUGGACCAAGACUGACGCUGAGGCGCGAAAGCCGUGGGUAGCAAACAGGAUUAGAUACCCUGGUAGUCCACGCUGUAAACGAUGGAUGCUAGGUGUAGGAGGUAUCGACCCCUUCUGUGCCNGAGUUAACACAAUAAGCAUCCCGCCUGGGGAGUACCGCCNNCAAGGUUGAAACUCCAAAGGAAUUGACGGGGGCCCCCCNCAAGCCAGCGGANCNUGUGGUUUANUUUCGAAACCAACGCCAAAAAACCUUACCAGGUCUUGACUUCNAGGUAAAACCCUAAAGAUCCGGNGUGCCCUUCGGGCAAUNUGAAGCAGGUGGUGCNUGGUUGUCCUCCCCUCCU
rnacentral:rRNA from 1 species